GAUGAACGCUAGUGGCAGGCCUAACACAUGCAAGUCGAGGGGUAGAAUUAGCUUGCUAAUUUGAGACCGGCGCACGGGUGCGUAACGCGUAUGCAAUCUACCUUGUACAGGGGGAUAGCCCAGAGAAAUUUGGAUUAAUACCCCAUGGUAUAAUUAAUUUGCAUGAAUUGAUUAUUAAAGUUCCAACGGUACAAGAUGAGCAUGCGUCCCAUUAGCUAGUUGGUGUGGUAACGGCAUACCAAGGCGACGAUGGGUAGGGGUCCUGAGAGGGAGAUCCCCCACACUGGUACUGAGACACGGACCAGACUCCUACGGGAGGCAGCAGUGAGGAAUAUUGGUCAAUGGUCGGAAGACUGAACCAGCCAUGCCGCGUGCAGGAAGAAGCAUCUAUGGUGUGUAAACUGCUUUUGUACGGGAAGAAACACUCCUACGUGUAGGAGCUUGACGGUACCGUAAGAAUAAGCACCGGCUAACUUCGUGCCAGCAGCC
rnacentral:rRNA from 1 species